GGCAGAGUGGCACAAUCUGGUGGAUAGAGCACAGGCCUGGGAGUCAGAAGGACCUGGGUUCUAAUUCCGGCUCUGCCA
rnacentral:tRNA from 1 species